UGGGGAAUAUUGGGCAAUGGAGGAAACUCUGACCCAGCAACGCCGCGUGAAUGAUGAAGGUCUUCGGAUUGUAAAGUUCUUUUCUAAGGGAAGAAGAAAGUGACGGUACCUUAGGAAUAAGCCUCGGCUAACUACGUGCCAGCAGCCGCGGUAAUACGUAGGAGGCGAGCGUUAUCCGGAAUGACUGGGCGUAAAGGGUGCGUAGGUGGUUUGGCAAGUUAGUAGCGUAACUCCAAGGCUCAACCUUGGAACUACUACUAAAACUGUUGGACUUGAGUGCAGGAGGGGCAACCGGAAUUCCUAGUGUAGCGGUGGAAUGCGUAGAUAUUAGGAGGAACACCAGUGGCGAAGGCGGGUUGCUAGACUGUAACUGACACUGAGGCACGAAAGCGUGGGGAGCAAACA
rnacentral:rRNA from 1 species